rnacentral:ncRNA from 23 species
UUUUUGUUUUCAGGAUUAUUUAUGGAUUUUUCCAUGAAUGGGGAAGCAGGUUAAAAUCCUGCGCAGUACCCGCUGCUGUAAGGGAAUAGUAGUACUUCAUUAUGUCACUGUGAAUAAUGGGAAGACGAAGUACUAUGUUUGACGCCUAAGCCAGAACACCCGACUGAAAACGAAUUUACGAG